AUACGGAGGGUGCAAGCGUUAAUCGGAAUUACUGGGCGUAAAGGGCGCGUAGGCGGUCUAUCAAGUCAGUUGUGAAAUCCCACGGCUCAACCGUGGAGGUGCAUCUGAAACUGAUAGACUUGAGUAUGGGAGAGGAAAGUGGAAUUCCCGGUGUAGAGGUGAAAUUCGUAGAUAUCGGGAGGAAAACCAGUGGCGAAGGCGACUUUCUGGACCAAUACUGACGCUGAGGCGCGAAAGCGUGGGGAGCAAACAGGAUUAGAAACCCGUGUAGUCC
rnacentral:rRNA from 1 species